UUUGACCUCAAAUCAGGUAGGACUACCCGCUGAACUUAAGCAUAUCAAUAAGCGGAGGAAAAGAAACUAACCAGGAUUCCCCUAGUAACGGCGAGUGAAGAGGGAAGAGCUCAAAUUUGAAAUCUGGCAGUCUCAGGCUGUCCGAGUUGUAAUCUAGAGAAGUGUUUUCUGUGCUGGACCGUGUACAAGUCCUUUGGAACAAGGCGUCAUAGAGGGUGAGAAUCCCGUCUACGACACGGACUGCCAGUGCUCUGUGAUACACUCUCAACGAGUCGAGUUGUUUGGGAAUGCAGCUCAAAAUGGGUGGUAAAUUCCAUCUAAAGCUAAAUAUUGGCGAAAGACCGAUAGCGAACAAGUACCGUGAGGGAAAGAUGAAAAGCACUUUGGAAAGAGAGUUAAACAGUACGUGAAAUUGUUGAAAGGGAAACGCUUGAAGUCAGUCGCGUCUUCAGAAACUCAACCUGGCCUCUUGGCCUGGUGUAUUUUUCUGUUGGACGGGCCAGCAUCAGUUUCGGCCACCAGAAAAAGGUGAGGGGAAGGUAGCACUCUCCGGAGUGUGUUAUAGCCCCUCAUCAUAUGUGGUGGCUUGGGACUGAGGGAUUUGCAGCACGCCUUCAAUGGCCGGGGUUCGCCCACGCAACGUGCUUAGGAUGCUGGCGUAAUGGCUUUAAACGACCCGUCUUGAAACACGGACCAAGGAGUCUAACAUGCCUGCGAGUAUUUGGGUGGCAAACCCAUAUGCGGAAUGAAAGUGACUAGUUGGGACUUCUGUCAUGGAAGGCACUGACGCCCGGACCAGACCUAUUGUGACGGAUCCGAGGUAGAGCAUGUAUGUUGGGACCCGAAAGAUGGUGAACUAUGCCUGAGUAGGGUGAAGCCAGAGGAAACUCUGGUGGAGGCUCGUAGCGAUUCUGACGUGCAAAUCGAUCGUCGAACUUGGGUAUAGGGGCGAAAGACUAAUCGAAC
rnacentral:rRNA from 1 species